UGGGGAAUUUUGGACAAUGGGGGCAACCCUGAUCCAGCGAUGCCGCGUGAGUGAAGAAGGCCUGCGGGUUGUAAAGCUCUUUCGGUGGGGAGGAAGGCCCUGAAGUGAAUACCUUCAGGGAUUGACGUUACCCACAAAAGAAGCACCGGCUAACUCUGUGCCAGCAGCCGCGGUAAUACAGAGGGUGCGAGCGUUAAUCGGAAUUACUGGGCGUAAAGCGCACGUAGGUGGCGACGUAAGUCGGGUGUGAAAGCCCCGGGCUCAACCUGGGAACCGCAUUCGAGACUGUGUUGCUGGAGUACGGAAGAGGAGGGCGGAAUUCCCGGUGUAGCGGUGAAAUGCGUAGAUAUCAAGAGGAACACCUGAGGUGAAGACGGGUUGCUGGGCUGACACUGACGCUGAGGCGCGAAAGCCAGGGGAGCAAACGGGAUUAGAUACCCCGGUAGUCCCUGAGCGGGCUGGCAAGGCGCAU
rnacentral:rRNA from 1 species